GAAUCAGUGGAGAAAGCAGACCCUGUUGAGCUGAACUCUAGUCUGACACCGUGAAGAGAUGAGAGGUGUAUAAAAAGUGGGAGGUCCCCAGGCCACUGGUGAAAUACCACUACUAUCAUUUUUUCAAUUGGCGGGGGGGCAAACCCUGAAGGUCUCUUGCAUGUGGCUCCAAGCACCUGGCACUUGCUGGGUGCAACCUGCUCUGGGUACUGUCAGAUGGGGAGAUUUUCAUGGAGCCAUACACCUGUCAAACUGUAACACGGGUUUCCUAAGGUGAGCUCAGGAAGGACAAAAACUUGCCAUGGAGCAGGAGGAGGAAGGCUCGCUUGACUUUGAUUUUCAAUAUGAAUGCAGACCGUGAAAAUGGGAACUUGCAAUCCUUCUGACUUUUUAGGGUUUUAAGCAGGUGUCAGAAAAGUUACCACCGGGAUAACUGCCUUGUGGCGGCCAAGUGUUCAAAGCAACAGCCCUUUUUCAUCCUCUGAUGUCAGUUCUUCCUAAGGUUGUGGAGGAAGAUUUACCACACACUGUUCACCCAUUAAUUGGGAAUGUGAGCUGGAUUUAGACUGUUGUGAGACAGGUUAGUUUUACCCUACUGGUGAUGUGCUGUUGCAAUAGUAAUCCUGCUUAGUACAUGAGGAACCGCAGGUUCAGACAUUUGGUGUAUGUGCUUGACAAGCCAAUGGGGUGAAGCUCCCAUCUGUGGGAUUAUGACUGAAUGCUUCUAAGUCAAAAUCCCCCCUAAAUAUAAUAAUAUUUCAGUGCCUUAGAGCCUCAGUUGGCCUUGGACAAUAGCUGGCCAUCCCCCGUGGAGAGGCAGGGCCUGGUGCAGGAGCCGUAUGUCUUGGGACCAGAGAGUGGACAGAAGGAAGAUGCCUCUCACCUAUAGCAUGUGCCAUGUUCCUGAGGACCCUACAGCCGCAUCAUUCAUAGAUACCUGAUUCUGGGUCAGGGUUUCAUAUGCAGCAUAGCAGGUGCCUUGCUGCGAUCUAUUGAACAUCAGUCCUUGAUACAAGCUUU
rnacentral:ncRNA from 1 species